GAUGAACGCUGACAGAAUGCUUAACACAUGCAAGUCGACUCGAGUCUUCGGACUUGGGUGGCGCACGGGUGAGUAACGCGUAAAGAACUUGCCUCUUAGACCGGGACAACAUCUGGAAACGGAUGCUAAUACCGGAUAUUAUGGUUUUUUCGCAUGGAGGAAUCAUGAAAGCUAGAUGCGCUAAGAGAGAGCUUUGCGUCCCAUUAGCUAGUUGGUGAGGUAACGGCCCACCAAGGCAAUGAUGGGUAGCCGGCCUGAGAGGGUGAACGGCCACAAGGGGACUGAGACACGGCCCUUACUCCUACGGGAGGCAGCAGUGGGGAAUAUUGGACAAUGGACCACAAGUCUGAUCUAGCAAUUCUGUGUGCACGAUGACGUUUUUCGGAAUGUAAAGUGCUUUCAGUCGGGAAGAAGUCAGUGACGGUACCGACAGAAGAAGCGACGGCUAAAUACGUGCCAGCAGCCGCGGUAAUACGUAUGUCGCAAGCGUUAUCCGGAUUUAUUGGGCGUAAAGCGCGUCUAGGCGGCAAGGAAAGUCUGAUGUGAAAAUGCGGAGCUCAACUCCGUAUGGCGUUGGAAACUGCCUUACUAGAGUACUGGAGAGGUAGGCGGAACUACAAGUGUAGAGGUGAAAUUCGUAGAUAUUUGUAGGAAUGCCGAUGGGGAAGCCAGCCUACUGGACAGAUACUGACGCUAAAGCGCGAAAGCGUGGGUAGCAAACAGG
rnacentral:rRNA from 1 species